rnacentral:rRNA from 1 species
CCGACGGUGAGGGGCGAAAGCUGGGGGAGCAAACCGGAUUAGAUACCCGGGUAGUCCCAGCCGUAAACGAUGUGCGUUAGGUGUAUCGGUGACCACGAGUCACCGAGGUGCCGAAGAGAAAUCGUGAAACGUACCGCCUGGGAAGUACGGUCGCAAGGCUGAAACUUAAAGGAAUUGGCGGGGGAGCACCACAACAGGUGGAGCUUGCGGUUUAAUCGGACUCAACGCCGGAAAACUCACCAGAUAAGACAGCUGAAUGAUAGUCGGGCUGAAGACUCUACUUGACUAGCUGAGAGGAGGUGCAUGGCCGUCGUCAGUUCGUACUGUGAAGCAUCCUGUUAAGUCAGGCAACGAGCGAGACCCACGCCAACAGUUGCU